GUGGGUUUAUGACUCACCUUUACCGUUAUCUUGGCAUAAAUGGGAGGUUAAUUGCCACAAUCAAUUGCAAUCAAUAGGAGGUUAAUUGCCGCAAUCAAUUGCAAUCAAUGGGAGGUUAAUUGCCGCAAUCAAUUGUAAUCAAUGGGAGGUUAAUUACCAUUAAUUGUAUUUAUUAUUGUUGUCUCCUAGAACCACUAUAUAUAGUGGCUUCCUUCAAGCAAUGUAACACACUACAGACAAGCAACACACACUUGCUUCCUCUCUCUUUUCAUAUACUCUCUAUUUCUGUUCUUGGGUGUAAGUGUUUAACCCAUAUAGAGAGGAUUUGUUUUAGGGCUAUUUAUCUAUUAGUCUGAGAGGAAUUCAUUGUACUCCCAAUAUCAUUAUAGUGAAAGUUUUGGCUCUCUCGCCGGUGGUUUUUUACCUCUAUUUAAAGGGGUUUUCCACCUAAAAAUUCUGGUAUCAUUCUCACUUUACUUGUUACUUUAAUUUCUCAUAAUCUUUGGUUGAAAUUAUCACGCUUCCGCACACGAUAUCCCUACAU
rnacentral:lncRNA from 1 species